GCAUGCUUUACCAUGCAAGUCGGACCGGCAGCCCCAGAGAAGGCUUUGCUUCUUUGGGUGGCGAGUGGCGAACGGGGUGAGUAACAUAUCGGAACGUACCCGGGCAGGUGGGGGAUAACUAAUCGAAAGAUUAGUAAUUACCCGCAUAUCUUCUUGAGGAAGAAAGCAGGGGACCAUUUGGCCUUGCGCUGUUUGAGCGGCCGAUAUCUGAUUAGCUAGUUGGUGGGUAAAGGCCUACCAAGGCGACGAUCAGUAGCGGGUCUGAGAGGAAUGAUCCGCCACACUGGGAGUGAGACACGGCCCCAGACUCCUACGGGAGGCAGCAGUGGGGGAAUUUUGGACAAUGGGGGGCAAGCCUUGAUCCCAGCCAUGGCCCGCGGUGUUC
rnacentral:rRNA from 1 species